rnacentral:rRNA from 1 species
GACGAACGCUGGCGGCGUGCUUAACACAUGCAAGUCGAACGGAAAGGCCCUGCUUUUGUGGGGUGCUCGAGUGGCGAACGGGUGAGUAACACGUGAGUAACCUGCCCUUGACUUUGGAAUAACUUCAGGAAACUGGGGCUAAUACCGGAUAGGAGCUCCUGCUGCAUGGUGGGGGUUGGAAAGUUUCGGCGGUUGGGGAUGGACUCGCGGCUUAUCAGCUUGUUGGUGGGGUAGUGGCUUACCAAGGCUUUGACGGGUAGCCGGCCUGAGAGGGUGACCGGCCAAAUUGGGACUGAGAUACGGCCCAGACUCCUACGGGAGGCAGCAGUGGGGAAUAUUGCACAAUGGGCGGAAGCCUGAUGCAGCAACGCCGCGUGCGGGAUGACGGCCUUCGGGUUGAAACCGCUUUCGCCUGUGACGAAGCGUGAGUGACGGUAAUGGGUAAAGAAGCACCGGCUAACUACGUG